UAAUGGUCUCAGCUCCAAGACCAAGACCUUCAACUUUCACCCCCUCGGAACAAUGGCUCCUAAUGACAGCCACAUUACUCAUCUGUGGAUUCUUGGGCUAUGUAGUUUACGAUGCGGUCAUGGCCACAGCAUCUGAGAUGCUGCAAAGGGUCGGAGCCUGGUGCCAUCCAUAGAGCUGGAGGCUCACCUUGGGGUGUAGCUUUUGUGCUGUUGCUUCUUGUCUUCCUCAUUUCUUACCAGCCUUCCUUGCACGGCCUCAUCUUCUAGUUUAACAGCACUCCUGUCCAAGCAAUAGCAUAGUUAAGCAUGCUUCGAGGGUGGGUGCAGAAUUUAUGCAAGCUGGCUUCUACUAGAUAUGGUGUAACUUUUAACCUACUUGAUGAAGUCAAAAUGCCCUCUUGUUAUUUUCAUAUUAGCAUAACAGGUUCAUGAUCUUUCGCCCUCUUAGCUACUUUCUUCUUGCAGGGCAUGUUGUUAAGAAACUACUGCAAUCUAUGCUGAAAAUGUUAGAGGGUCUUCCAUUUCAUAA